ensembl:lncRNA
UGUGGGUGUUGGGAAAAGAGGGAAGUUAGCAAGGACGACUAAGCCUAUGUAUCUUGGUUUUUGACACAUUUUGACAAAAUUGUCCAGUUCAGGAGUAUUAUAUGUGGAUGGUAGGUCAUCCUAUAGACCUUGUUGAUGCUCUCUGGGGUGGGUAGAUUUGUUGUUAUUGUAAUAGCUGAGUAGGUCUGUGCAUUUCAGUUUCAGAGCUGCCAGCUAGCGAGGGUAUACCAUGUCUAUACAUGUUUCAGUGUUGAAUGUGUUAGCAGAGUCCGUAGGUUUGUGGAUGUCAAAGUUUAAGAGUGUUUGCGCUGUCUGGAGGUUCUGGAGGUCUGGAGGUUCUGGAGGUCUGGAGGUUCUGGAGGUCUGGAAGUUCUGGCGGUCUGGAGGUUCUGGAGGUCUGGAGGUUCUGGAGGUUCUGGAGGUCUGGAGGUCUGUAGGUUCUGGAGGUCUGGAGGUCUGGAGGGUCUGGAGGUCUGGAGGUUCUGGAGGUCUGGAGGUCUGGAGGUUCUGGAGGUUCUGGAGGUCUGGAGGUCUGGAGGUUCUGGAGGUCUGGAGGGUCUGGAGGUCUGGAGGUUCUGGAGGUCUGGAGGUUCUGGAGGUCUGGAGGUUCUGGAGGUCUGGAGGUUCUGAAGGUCUGG